GGCAUAGUCGCUUGUUCUCCGCCCGCGGUGGACCAGCUGCGUAACGGUUCACACACUGAUGGCGCCUGGAGGUUUGGCGAAAUACUGACAGGAUGCGACGUCAACGGGAGCGCAGGGCCAAGAUACCCUUUAUAUCAAACCGUCUAUCCUGGAGCAGAAAAAUCCUGUCUUCAUUGCUAUAGCUACAGAUUCAGAAAUGAGCAUGUAACAAAUUCAGGCCAAAGAGAGGCAAUGGAAAUCAGAGAAACACUGUUCCUGAAAGCUUCUGUCACUCAAGAAUCCAUGAAACAUUCAUGAACUUCACAUCAGGACCCCAGUUAUUCCAGCUGUUAAAUGGAGUGGAUCAAAAGGCUGAUUAAAUGUAACGGAUUCCAAAGAAUGGCUGGCACAUAGAUGGAUACCAUUCAAGCCCAAGGAAAACCAAUGCUUCUUUUCAUCUAUGGACUCAAGUCUCAGAAAGCAGAGAAGUGAGUGUACCAAGUGCAACAAACGUUUGAGCAUUGUUCUGCUGCCAAUAUUGAAGACAGCCACUGCUUUGAAGUGUGGGGAGGAGAGCUAGAGCAUAUUUGCCUGCCACAGUUAGUUUUGUGUUUCCAUGGAAUUUGAGCAAAACUGAUGCACUUGUCUCCCAGGAUUAAUCCAUACAAGUCACCUCUAAAAUUAUCUUUUCCCAUUCGUUGACUGAGCAAAAUGGACUUCAAGGACCUAAAGGAGGUUAAAUACCACAAGAUGGAGGAGCUUGAGUCUCUGAAUCAUUGUGUGUGAAGUCAUCUGCCAAUUACAUAAAUUGAAUUCUUGGUGAGUGUGAAGUACACAAGUAGCCAUGUAAUUUUGGAAUGAAUGUUACAGAAAUUUACUUACCCUGCCUAAUACACUCCUACCAUUUCAAUUAAUUAGUUCUACUGUAUGUUUAAUGGGAUGAAAUGUAUGUAUAUGUUUUUAUUCUCUAUUUUCUAUUGUUAUGCAUAGCAUAUAAAUUUCUAACAUAAGCGUAACUAUUGAGUCCUUUUAACAUUGUUCCAUAUGGUUAUGUAACAACAUUUUAAUGCUUAAUAGUAAUGAAGAAAGGAGUUCACAGUCAUAGUUUAUCUUGUUCUUAAGUUUUCAUCUAUGUAUUCAAGUGACGGGAUGCUAACUCCAGUUCUUGCCACAUAAAGUGCAAUAUCUUUAAAAGUUACUUGAUCAACCAAUUGUACUUCUAAAUCACUUAGUGGUUUUAUCUGAAUAAAAGAUGUGUGUGUCCC
ensembl:lncRNA POT1-AS1 POT1 antisense RNA 1